CGGCAUUGACUCGAUCAAUUUUGUCUCGAUCGAUUUUGUCGUGCUUCUGAGAAUGAUCAAUGAAGUAAAAGACACAAAAUGGUUGCACUUCUUAAUAUGAGCCG